AGAGUUUGAUCCUGGCUCAGGACGAACGCUGGCGGCGUGCUUAACACAUGCAAGUCGAACGGAAAGGCCUGUGCUUGCACGGGUACUCGAGUGGCGAACGGGUGAGUAACACGUGGGUGAUCUGCCCUUCACUUCGGGAUAAGCCUGGGAAACUGGGUCUAAUACUGGAUAGGACCAUCGUUUAGUGUCGGUGGUGGAAAGUUUUUCGGUGGAGGAUGAGCUCGCGGCCUAUCAGCUUGUUGGUGGGGUAAUGGCCUACCAAGGCGACGACGGGUAGCCGGCCUGAGAGGGUGGACGGCCACAUUGGGACUGAGACACGGCCCAGACUCCUACGGGAGGCAGCAGUGGGGAAUCUUGCACAAUGGGCGGAAGCCUGAUGCAGCGACGCCGCGUGAGGGAUGACGGCCUUCGGGUUGUAAACCUCUUUCGCUAGGGAAGAAGCCGCUUUGUGGUGGUGACGGUACCUGGAUAAGAAGCACCGGCUAACUACGUG
rnacentral:rRNA from 1 species